GCGAGUAGGCCAGCCUGCCACGUCUUGAAUUUUUUGUUUGUUUAUUUUUUCGGUGCAGAUUUUCCCACGCUGCGCUCCCACCGACUCCACAGCGGCAGCCCCGCACGUGGAGGGGAAGGAACAUAACUGGCGCGGGUAGGGCCAGGUCGCGGUGAAGGAGCUGCGGCUGCGGGCUGCCUGGCGCCAGAGAGCGCAUUGUGCGGGAGCGCUGAAUGGAGCUGGGCUAUGUGCGGGCGGGCUCGCACGGAUUAGCCUGCUUUCCCAUGAACUACAAAAGAAUGCUCGAAUCUGGGACAUUUGUCAUCAAGGGGCAGGCUGCGCAGGAUGCAAGAUGGUCUCCAACAUAGGAAGGUGAAGUGGAGCCAGACUGGAGGAGCCUGGAAUUUACCAAUUAGGUUAGCCUGGCUGACGAGUGAGCCCCAAGGAUCCACCCGUCUUCACCUCCCUGGUGAUGGAAUUACGUGCCCAUGCUACUGCACUGAUUUUUUUUCCCCUAAGGAUUCUAGGGAACCAACUCAGGUUCUGAUGCUUGCAAGGUCCUGGUACUGAGCUCCUAAAACCCCUUGGAAUUUCCUGAGUGGAGGAGGUAUUGUGAGCAAAGGGAUGUGGAAGCUAGCUAAUAUUCUUCAUAAAGACCCUUAAACCACAGGCUAUGGAGAGCUUCCAGACAAUAUGUCACAGCCUCAGCAAUCUGGGAAAGGAGGAAGCAGAAGAACUGGGACCCGCAUGUAUCCAACACCCCAACCCCCCACUUUCAAUGUGGGGUCAAGUUUCCAAGAAGAGCUACAUAAUGGUGUCACCCUAGCUGGUCUUCCCCCCCCCCAAAUAUUUGUUUUAUGUAAUUUGCUGAACAUUCAUGAAUAUUAGCAUGAAUAAGAUAUGUGUGACUAUUAAAUAG